rnacentral:lncRNA from 1 species
UAGAAAAAUUGAUAAAUUUUAUUAAAAAUUUUUUUUCUCGUCUGAAAAUGUUUUUAAGAAUGAAAUAAUUUGAGCAAGGUGGUCAUUAAUAUCGAGUCAUUUAAAAAAUGUUUAAUUCCAAAUGAUAUGUAUGCAUAUAAUAAAGACAUUGUUAAUUAUUUUAAUGACAACUACCUUCUAAAAUCUUAAGCAACAAUACUAUGAAAACUUAAUAAUACAAUAUAUUCCUUCUUUUAGGAAAUAAUAAAUUGUAUUGCACAAUACAAAUAAGAUUUUUUUUUCAAACAAUUGCUGUUAGAACAGCAGAAAUAUUGGGUUAAUUAUCCUAACAGAGUGGAAAAAUUUGUCAACAAACAGCCAUUGGACUCAAACCCACAUCCCUCACAACUCUGGCUGAGUGCUUUACCAUUACGUUAAACUGCCCACUAACAAAUUUCUGCUGUUCUAAUGGCAAUUCUGUGUUUGGAAAAAUAUUUUAUUUGCAUCAAUACAAUACACAUUUUGAUGCUUAAAAAAACACACAAAAAAACAUGUUAGUUUGUUUAUAUUUAUAUACAUGUAAAUCAAUUGUAUAUUGCACCAAUGAAAAAUUAAACCUUCACCAUCAUAUGCAAGUUAUGAGUGAGAAUACACAAUGCCCAGCUGAUAAAAGACAAUCCCCCCUCCACCUCUCUCUAUUCAGUACUUAUAUCUUGUUUGAUCUACAUAGGUACACUGUAUUCAUUCCACUCUGCAAUUUUUGCUUCAGUUCAUUUUCUUGUGACUUCACCUUAGCACCUUCUCAGGGAUUGGACUCAGAACCUCUAGGUGACUACAUUGCAUUAACCAACAUCUUUACUCACUAUGCUAUGUCCGUAGGCAGUGACACAGUGAAUUUUUAAGGCUUAUACACUUAAUGCCUGUGUAAUCUAAUGUUAUUACUUUUGUGGCAGUCUGCCCUUUUCUUCCUUAAUUAUUUGUUCCCAUAUUGUAUUUAACUCUGCACUUGACCUGCCUAACCCUUUCGUUACCAACCCGACUGAAACUGCCUAUGGCUCUGUAGUACAAAGGUCUUGUUUUCAUAAGUUUUGAAUUAAAAUCUUUCACCAAACCUUAAUCACAAUUUAUGUUCCUAACACUAGCUGAAUGAUAACUAAGUUAUUUCACUAAAUUCUUUGUUAUAUUUAAAGUAAUUGAAAGAAACACAGAGCAUCUCAAAAUAAAUACAGUAAUGAAAGGGUUAAGCAAGUAGCACACAUAGGAAAACUGCCUAAGUUUUCUAAUUUUCCAGUGGUGCUCUCUAACUGAUAUUCUGACCUCAUUCCAUAGUGGCUGGUGGCCUUCAUUUUCCCAAAUGUAAUUGGCUAUACCUGACUUAUCAAUAUCCCUCCAUGUCAUGGUUUUCUGAUGUUCCCCUACUCAUACUUCAAGGGGGUAGCAUGUCUCUCCUUUGUAAACCUUACCACAGCUGCACACAGUUUUUGGUUAUAUUCUCUUGUAUGAGGGCCUUCACUUGGAAGAGGUAUCUGCUAAGUGUUGAAUUACUUCUCAAUACCAUCCUGAUGUCAUAUGGACCACAGAUCUUUUUGUCUUUUCUGAGGCCACUGACAUAGGGUAGUCAUACCAUGGCAAUGUUUUCUUGGAUUUCAUCUUCUUCCCUCCUCCUAGCUAGGGUAGAUAGUAUGCUUGCUGGGCAGUUGCUACAUUGUAGUGUUUCUCAGUUUGAUCAUUUCUUAGUAGUAUAUGCCAGGAUUGUUACUUAUAGUUUUUGCUCAAUGUCGUAGGUAAUGAGCAAUCCCUCUCUUGACACUGUACUAGCUUAAAAGCCACACUGUGUGCAGACUUUUAAGCUACCUCCUGUCUAAUUAGACCUGUGGCCUAAAAUUAAUGAGAGCUAAAUAGCAUGACUAUAUGCCCUGGUGGUGUUUGAUCAGAGGUUAAAAGAUGGAUGAGAAUUAAUUCUGUAAUGCAAUCAUUCUAUUGCUCCAGUCCCCAAGUUGACUUCCAACUGUUGGCCAAUUUGCCCUAAAGUUAUUAUCUCAACAUAAGCGAAUGUCAUUUACCUCCCCCUUGAUUUCUGAUAAACGCCAACCAAGAUGGCAUGACUCAGCCAAGCUUUACCUGCUAGAAGUAGCAACCCAAAUGCUUCUAAAUCAGAUCCCAAUGCUGAAUGUUUAAGAACCAAAUGAAGGGCAGAUUUUCAAUCCUUGGAUUAUUCUGGUACCAAAAAGGUAUAUGUUUAUGUAGAGGAAAUGUGGACUGAGAUACAGAGAUCCUGAACAAACAGAAUUUCAUGUUUAUUAAUAUAGACGGAUGAUGAGAAUUGAAGUUGGGGUACUCUUCUGUGAAUGUUGGUUUUGAAUAUAGUGAGUGGAAUGAGAACAGUGUACCUCCAUGUAUCAAAGGGUUAGGUUUGAAAUUCUGAUACAACUGAGUUUGACACAAGACACUAGUAGAAGGCUGCAGGGUAGAACAGUCAAAACAUAGUGAAAGCAACAAUCAAGAUGAGGACAUCAGUUUGAUUAAUGUAAAUAGGGUACAUAAUAUAAAUUCCUCAUUGCAGAAAUUGUGUUUCUAUGAUAGUAGCCAAAGGGGGCAAUAGAGGCUUUCAGCUACCAAUGGGAAUUGUUGUGAUGGAAAUUAGCCAAAGUUUUAAAUAUAAGUAGUGGAAGUUGGACCUGUAUUAUAAAAGCAAGUGGAGGAGGAGUGCAUUGCAAAAUCAGGCGGGCUUAUGUAGGAGUUAUUUGUGUCGAUAUGAUUCUGUAUGAGAAUACUAAAGGAAUUAAGGGAGAAAGAUGAUUAUGAAAUCAUAAUUAAAUCUUUAACCCACCUUUGUUAACCCAUUCAACUUUCUAACACAGUGCUCCCACCCCCUAUCUCCAUCCUGCACAACAAAAACUCCAAUAGUAUAAGGAUUAUAUCCAGCACCAUAAAGAUCCAUAAUACAGGUAUCCUUUGGCAACACCAUGAAAUGAGAAACUAACAUGUACCUGUCACAGCAUAGACCUGCUCCAUGAAAGGCAAGUUGAAACAAGCAUGUUUUCUGUAUUUUCCAACAGUUGAUCCUACUAUAUUGGGUUGAUGGUAAACAUUCAAAAGCUGUCUACACCAACUCAACUCAUUCUGCUAUCUGGAAUAAAACCUCCACAUCUCUCUCCAAACACAUUUGGAAAUCAAAGAAUACAAAAAAAGCAGAUACCACAUGGGAAAUCAUUGAAUACUAGAGAAAUGGAUAGAUGGUCUACAGUCUUCCUCAUAGUUUCCCUAACAGCUUUCACCCAACUAUAAUCCUAAAGAAAAGAACCAAACUCAUUGCAAAUUACUACCAUAUACCAAAGUUCCUGUUGGUCAGCAUGGAAGAAGUGAUACUUACUGAACCUAAAAGAAUGGGUAUCAUGAAAUACAAAAUCAAUCAUGUGGCUAAUUACAGGUGCUUGACCACCAUUUAAGAUCUACUGAUGAGAAUGGUGAAUUUAUAAGAAACAGUGAAAUAGGAGGAAAUAACUAUCUAAAUUAAAACAUUUAAGGCAAUAUUGAAGGUGUAAAUGCAGAAAAAGUUUAUUUUGCAUAUCUCUAAUAACAUUAUUUAUAAAAUCAAAGUGAAAUACAUACAUGUGUGUGUGCAUGCAAACACAUAUCAGUAAAUGUUAAGAAAGAAAAUUCACAUUUUCAAUAAUAUUUGUUAAUUUGGCAAAUAUCUGCACUAUUAAGGCACACUGAUCUUAGAAUAUAGAAACUGAGGAAAACCUGGUUCUCCCUAAAAAUAUAUAUUUAUCAUUGUUUUUAUACCACAAAUCAUUAAAUAUCCAAAAUCUUUCAACAAAAGACUAUACCAACUUUAAAGGAAAAGAUUUUGAAGUUGUUUGAUCAGUCAAUCUAGUAAAUAACAGCAACUGAAAUACAGCCAUGAAUAAAAGAUAUAGUUACAGAGACAAAAAAAGUUUAACACUGCACAUAUGUGAAAAUAAAUAAACAAUGCAGAAAAAAGAUUUUUAAAAUGCUGGUCUGAGUUGUUACAUUUGUUUCUUCCCUCUUGUUCAUAAAACACUAAGUUUUCCCUAGUUCAGCUAUAAACUAUUAAUUAGCUAUUGUGUUGCAUAAUAUGAAAAUAUCACAACAAAAAGUAUUAAACAUGUAAAGCUUGAGUAAACAGAAAGUAAAACCAGUUAAGUUUUGAAAUAGAUGGAGUAAUCUGAAAGAUUCCAGCCAAGUCUGAAAUCAUAUUUCAAUGAUAUAAACAAAAAAUGGUAAUACACAACAUUUUUGAUUAGUUCAGGAGUCAAAAAUUAAAUCAUAUUCAGUUUUUAAAUGUAAUUCUAAACCAGUCUCUCUUUUCAAUGUGUUACUAACACAUUCCAAAUAACCAAAAUAGUUUUGAUGAGAAGAGGUCAAUAGGUUAAAGUUCAUGUAUGGCAAGGCAAGGUCAAAAGGACAAGUAAACUUCCUAGAGAGAGGAAUAGAGAGAAGGAAGCCCACUAACUCUACGUUUCAUUAUAGUGUUAGUUCUAAUAAACUAAAAGUGAUUAUAUUUAAUUUCUGUAGAAUGGUUAAGAAUUUAGUUUGUGGUCACAAAUUUCUGAAUUCAGCACCCAGGGUGGCAUCUAUCUACAGCAAGUGUCAUUUGCCAUUGUACCUCUAAUACAAAAAGGUACAGCCUUGGGUCUUCAUGACAGUUAUAAUUAACAUUCUUGUUGCCAUAGUACUACUGAAAAUUUACUGCCUUUGUUUGAAUUAGUUUUGAAAAGGAUAACUCAGUAAAAUAACUCAUUAUUAAUGUAGUAUUUGAAACGUAUUUUAGCACGAAAAUUUGAUGGAAAGUUUUAAUUUAGAUCACUUUGAAACAGGAAGAUUGCAUCAUAGAACCAGGGUAAGUCUCAGGAGAGUUGGUAUCAAAAUGUGUGUGUGGAACACGCAGUCACUUACAAGCUAAUUCAAUGAGCAGAUAAUCCAGUUGAUCAAACAACUGAAUAUGUAUCAUCGUCAAUGCCAAAAGAGAUCAAUUUUAUUUGUUAAACACGAAGAGACGCCUUCAGUAUAAUAGCUGACAUCAGAUGAACAAUACUUCAGAUCUGUUUGAAUAAACAAAAUAUUAGUGACCUCUAAUAGACCUUGAAAUAUUCAGGGAGACAGUGUGAGUACAGUCGAUUAUAUCAACCUAAGUAUGUGACUAGCACUUUAUUUUGUUGACUCAAAAGGAUGAAAGGCAAAAUGCACCUUACUGAGAUUCAAAUUCCAAAUGGCAAAGCCCAUGACUAAAUGUCACAAUGGACAGCUGAACUAGUUUUAUCAAUUCUAAAACCAACAAACACACACAGCUUUUUGCUUAGUAUUCAGCAAAGUUAACAGCAUAACAAUCAAAUUAUUUUGUAAAUUAAAAAAAAACCAAAGCCUUCAUCUUGAAUGAAAAUAUGGUUAAAUAUUGUAAAAAAAAAAAAAAAAAAUAAUAAUAAUAAUAAAAAGCAAAUGUCAUUUGGCAAUACAUUGUAGAAAAUAGCAUGACAAGGAAAAACAUUUAGAGAAAUUAAUUUUUGUUUUUUUAAUGAGUGGAUGUAAGAGAAUGGAGGUAAAAAUAUAACCAACCCUUCUUAAUGUAAAACCUCAAAUAUAACACCACUGAUAUAAUGAUAACAUAUCAGUUGUCAGAAAGACUUCCUCCUGCCCCCCCGCCCCCCUUCUUGCAAAUUAUUGUUUUCACUUAAAAAGAAAUUUUUUUUGCUGAAAACCCAUGUUUUCGGAUAUGGAGAUUCCAGAAAAUUGCAAAAGAUUGGAAUUUUGAAAUUCCGCCCCGCCAUUCCCCCCUCAAUUUCUUCAUUUUUCACUCUUUCCCAUAACCCAAACCCUAACCAGAAAAAUUUUUUGAAAUUUGUUUCAGAAUCAUAACCUCCAUAUUUAUCUGCAUAUUUACAAGGAAAAAAAAAAAAAAAAAAAAAAAAAACU